CUUCUAUAAAUUCACAAUUUAAAUAUUCAGAUUUAUAUAAUUAUUUCCUGUUUGUCACUCAAAAAAUGAAGGAUUAUUAGCUGUAUACCACUGUUCCAUUAACAUGUUUGACAAAAUAACCAAGGCAUUUCAACAAAAAUCUUUGUUUUGUGGAAAACACAGUGAUCAAAAUUAGAGAACAGUAACCACUGUAGCACGAAAGAAGAAUUAAAAUUACUCAAAUUAAAAGAACUAAAAUUUUGUAAGGUUUCAUCUGUUAGAAAUUAGUAGGAAGUGUAGAGGCCCUCACUUUGAAUGACUUCAGACAUCACUAGUUCCUCACACUGCUCUGGUGCGAUCUUGGUCCACUCUUCUUCCACUCUCUUCCAUAGUUCGGUAACUGUAGUGGGUUUCUUAGCCAUAACUUUGUCGCCAAGAAUUUUCCAGAGAUUUUCAGUUGGGUUAACAUCAGAACUCUGGCCUGGCAAUUUCAUUAUUUCAAUGUUUUCAGGUUCAAGGAACUGCUUUAGUCAUUUUGCAGUGUGAUGGGGGCAUUGUCUUGCAUGAAAAUUGCAGGCUGGUUGGAAGAUGCUUGCAGGGAAGGAACUGCAUGUUGCUGAAGGAGGUUCUGAUAAACAUUUACAUUCACCCUGCCAUGUAUAGCUGUAUAAGAGGCCCAACUCCUGCUGCACAAAACAUCCCCUAAAUCAAGACACUUCCUCCUCCACCUUUCACUGACUUCUUUAAUCACUCAGGGUUCAGUCUUUCCCCAGUUUGAUGCCAAACAAAAUGUUUCCCAUCAGAAUCAAAUCAAUUAAUCUUGCUCUCAUCACUAAAGUGAACUUUGGACCAGUUCUCCUCUCUCCAAACAACAUGCUCCUUAGCAAAGGUGGGUCUCUAGACUUUUGAUUAUUUUUGCUGAUGAGAGGCUUUGUCACUGCAGAGGGCACUUUCAGUCUGACUUCUCUUAAACGUGCCGAGACAGAUCCUUUCCCUGUUCAGCACUGAACUGGCGAGCAAUUCCAGCUGCAGUGUUGAACCUAUUCCCCAAUGAGAGUCUCCCAGAGAUGGAAAGCAGUGCGGUAUUCUUUCUGUUCAGUGGCGAACAAACCAGCCAAGCGCUCAACCAUCACAGACCAGAUGCACGUCCUCCAUCGCUCUACAUCCGUCCGUCUGUAUUCUGUCUGCCUCUCAUUUCUCAGCUCAGUGCUAAAGCCCUCAAGGUGUCUGUAGAGCAAUGUGAUUUAUUGACUUCAGGUGUUGUGUUACAUCAGAAUAACUGGUUCCUGAUCAGUUCCUCAUCAGCUCCAUUUGUAAAUACUCUUGGUUAUUUCCCUGUGAAGAAGAUUUUGAAUGCAAGAAUCAAUAGGUCUUACCUCAUAUCAGACUUUAUGCAUGAUUUGAUUAUAUUUAAACUUGAGUUCAGUUGCUGCCUUAAAUGUUUAAGUUGAAACAAUUAGAAUUUUUUUCUUUUUUUCUUUCUUUUUUUUUUUACAGUAAGUACAUGUAAAAGCUUCAGGUGGAUGUUUAUGUUGGACAUAAUACAUGCAAAAAAAAAUAAAAUUCUUACAUGCUUAUAAGUGUUACAAUUAAAAUGUUAAGAUUCAUUCCUGUGCAUUACAGAAACAAGUCAGUAAAUUCUG
ensembl:lncRNA